rnacentral:rRNA from 1 species
GUACGGGAGGCAGCAGUGGGGAAUUUUGCGCAAUGGGGGAAACCCUGACGCAGCAACGCCGCGUGAGUGAUGAAGGCCUUCGGGUCGUAAAGCUCUGUCUAGAGGAAAGAAAUGUACGGCGGUCAAUACCCGUUGUACUUGACGGUACCUCUGAAGGAAGCACCGGCUAACUCCGUGCCAGCAGCCGCGGUAAUACGGAGGGUGCGAGCGUUGUUCGGAUUUAUUGGGCGUAAAGCGCGUGUAGGCGGUUUCUUAAGUCUGAUGUGAAAGCCCCGGGCUCAACCUGGGAAGUGCAUUGGAUACUGGGAGACUUGAAUACGGGAGAGGGUAGUGGAAUUCCUAGUGUAGGAGUGAAAUCCGUAGAUAUUAGGAGGAACACCGGUGGCGAAGGCGGCUACCUGGACCGAUAUUGACGCUGAGACGCGAAAGCGUGGGUAGCAAACAGGAUUAGAUACCCUGGUAGC